rnacentral:rRNA from 1 species
UCCUACGGGAGGCAGCAGUGAGGAAUAUUGGACAAUGGACGAAAGUCUGAUCCAGCCAUGCCGCGUGCAGGAUGACUGCCCUAUGGGUUGUAAACUGCUUUUAUACAGGAAGAAACACUCCCUCGUGAGGGAGCUUGACGGUACUGUAAGAAUAAGGAUCGGCUAACUCCGUGCCAGCAGCCGCGGUAAU